UACGUAGGUGGCAAGCGUUGUCCGGAUUUAUUGGGUUUAAAGGGCGCGCAGGCGGCUCUUCAAGUCAGAUGUGAAAGCCCCGGGCUCAACCUGGGAACUGCAUUUGAGACUGGAGAGCUUGAGUUCGGGAGAGGAGAGCGGAAUUCCCAGUGUAGAGGUGAAAUUCGUAGAUAUCAGGAAGAACACCCGUGGCGAAAGCGGCUCUCUGGAACGGUACUGACGCUGAGACGCGAAAGCGUGGGGAGCGAACAGG
rnacentral:rRNA from 1 species